CUCCUUCACUCUCUCAGACGACUGGCUCCUCAACUGCGGCUCUUCCUCCAACGCCACCUUCUUCAGCCGUUUCUUCAUCGGAGAUUUCAAUUUCAGGUCGGGUGUUGUCUCCACAGGCCGGCCUAUUUCAGUCACGAACAACAAAAUCCCACCUUCAAACUCACUCUUCUUACCACACAGCAAGAGUGUUCACAACUGCUUCAACCCUUCAAGCUAUAGUUUAAGCAUCAAGAAAAUCGGAACUCACUUGGUUUGAUGCGAAUAAGUGUGCAACUGAUUGUUUUGGCGCUGUUCCUUUGUCGGUUGAAGAGGGUACCUUUUCAGUGAUUGACAAAACACAGAAAAAAAGAACUUCCUUUCUUUGGUUGUCAAUAAGGUGAACUGUGGGAAAUCAGAACAAAAUGCUUGAAGAAAACGUUCAACCUACAUUGGUUCGUGAGAUAAAGGGUUAUCAGGCCGUCGUCAAAGUGAGGGUUCGUGUAUCCAGAAUAUGGAGGCCAAAGAGAUUUAAAGUGAGAUAUAUGAUGGCCUUCACUACAUCUUAAUUGACG